CCUACGGGUGGCAGCAGUGGGGAAUAUUGCGCAAUGGGCGAAAGCCUGACGCAGCGACGCCGCGUGAGGGAUGACGGUCUUCGGAUCGUAAACCUCUGUCAGCAGGGAAGAACGGUCACUGUGCUAAUCAGCCGUGAAUUGACGGUACCUGCAAAGGAAGCACCGGCUAACUCCGUGCCAGCAGCCGCGGUAAUACGGAGGGUGCGAUCGUUAAUCGGAUUUACUGGGAGUAAAGCGCUCGUAGGCGGUAUGUUAAGUCAGGGGUGAACGCCCCGCGCUCAACGUGGGAACUGCCUUUGAAACUGGCAAACUUGAGUGUGUGAGAGGAGAGUGGAAUUCCAGGUGUAGGAGUGAAAUCCGUAGAUAUCUGGAGGAACAUCAGUGGCGAAGGCGACUAUCUGGCACAUAACUGACGCUGAGGAGCGAAAGCGUGGGUAGCAAACAGGAUUAGAUACCCUUGUAGUC
rnacentral:rRNA from 1 species